GAUGAACGCUGGCGGCGUGCCUAAUACAUGCAAGUCGAGCGAACAGACGAGGAGCUUGCUCCUCUGACGUUAGCGGCGGACGGGUGAGUAACACGUGGAUAACCUACCUAUAAGACUGGGAUAACUUCGUGAAACCGGAUCUACUACCGGAUAAUAUAUUGAACCGCAUGGUUCAAUAGUUCAAGACGCUUUUGCUGUCACUUUUAGAUGGUUCCGCGACGCAUUAGCUAGUUGGUAAGGUAACGGCUUACCAAGGCAACGAUGCGUAGCAGACCUGAGAGGGUGAUCGGCCAAACUGGAACUGAGACACGGUCCAGACUCAUAAGGGAGGCAGCAGUAGGGAAUCUUCCGCAAUGGGCGAAAGCUUGACGGAGCAACGCCGCGUGAGUGAUGAAGGUAUUCGGAUCGUAAAACUCUGUUAUUAGGGAAGAACAAAUGUGUAAGUAACUAUGCACGUCUUGACGGUACCUAAUCAGAAAGCCACGGCUAACUACGUG
rnacentral:rRNA from 1 species